CAGCCGCCGCGGUAAUACGAAGGUGGCAAGCGUUGUUCGGAUUCACUGGGCGUACAGGGAGCGUAGGCGGUUGGGUAAGCCCUCCGUGAAAUCUCCGGGCCUAACCCGGAAAGUGCAGAGGGGACUGCUCGGCUAGAGGAUGGGAGAGGAGCGCGGAAUUCCCGGUGUAGCGGUGAAAUGCGUAGAGAUCGGGAGGAAGGCCGGUGGCGAAGGCGGCGCUCUGGAACAUUUCUGACGCUGAGGUACGAAAGCAUGGGGAGCAAACAGGAUUAGAUACCCGCGUAGUCCCUGUCUCUUAUAC
rnacentral:rRNA from 1 species